GACGAACGCUGGCGGCGUGCUUAACACAUGCAAGUCGAACGGUAAGGCUCCAGCUUGCUGGGGUACACGAGUGGCGAACGGGUGAGUAACACGUGGGUGACCUGCCCUGCACUUCGGGAUAAGCCUGGGAAACUGGGUCUAAUACCGGAUAGGACCGCACCGUGAGGGUGUGGUGGAAAGUUUUUUCGGUGUGGGAUGGGCCCGCGGCCUAUCAGCUUGUUGGUGGGGUAAUGGCCUACCAAGGCGGCGACGGGUAGCCGGCCUGAGAGGGUGGACGGCCACAUUGGGACUGAGACACGGCCCAGACUCCUACGGGAGGCAGCAGUGGGGAAUAUUGCACAAUGGGCGGAAGCCUGAUGCAGCGACGCCGCGUGGGGGAUGACGGCCUUCGGGUUGUAAACUCCUUUCACCAUCGACGAAGGGUUUCUGACGGUAGAUGGAGAAGAAGCACCGGCUAACUACGUGCCAGCAGCCGCGGUAAUACGUAGGGUGCGAGCGUUGUCCGGAAUUACUGGGCGUAAAGAGCUCGUAGGUGGUUUGUCGCGUCGUCUGUGAAAUUCCGGGGCUUAACUCCGGGCGUGCAGGCGAUACGGGCAUAACUUGAGUGCUGUAGGGGAGACUGGAAUUCCUGGUGUAGCGGUGAAAUGCGCAGAUAUCAGGAGGAACACCGGUGGCGAAGGCGGGUCUCUGGGCAGUAACUGACGCUGAGGAGCGAAAGCAUGGGGAGCGAACAGGAUUAGAUACCCUGGUAGUCCAUGCCGUAAACGGUGGGCGCUAGGUGUGGGUUUCCUUCCACGGGAUCCGUGCCGUAGCUAACGCAUUAAGCGCCCCGCCUGGGGAGUACGGCCGCAAGGCUAAAACUCAAAGGAAUUGACGGGGGCCCGCACAAGCGGCGGAGCAUGUGGAUUAAUUCGAUGCAACGCGAAGAACCUUACCUGGGCUUGACAUAUACAGGAUCGCGCCAGAGAUGGUGUUUCCCUUGUGGCUUGUAUACAGGUGGUGCAUGGUUGUCGUCAGCUCGUGUCGUGAGAUGUUGGGUUAAGUCCCGCAACGAGCGCAACCCUUGUCUUAUGUUGCCAGCACGUUGUGGUGGGGACUCGUAAGAAACUGCCGGGGUUAACUCGGAGGAAGGUGGGGAUGACGUCAAAUCAUCAUGCCCCUUAUGUCCAGGGCUUCGCACAUGCUACAAUGGUCGGUACAGUGGGUUGCCAGUCCGUGAGGGCGAGCUAAUCCCGCAAAGCCGGUCUCAGUUCGGAUCGGGGUCUGCAACUCGACCCCGUGAAGUCGGAGUCGCUAGUAAUCGCAGAUCAGCAACGCUGCGGUGAAUACGUUCCCGGGCCU
rnacentral:rRNA from 1 species